AUGCUUACAGAAUUUUUCUCCCCAGGUGCCUGGUCCCAGGUGCAGCUGGUGGAGUCCGGAGGGGGAGUUCAGAAGCCCGGGGGGUCUCUGCGCCUCUCCUGCAAAGCCUCAGGAUUCACCUUCAGCGACUACUACAUGGAGUGGGUUCGCCAGGCUCCUGGGAAGGGACUGGAGUGGGUUGCAAUGAUUCGCAACCCAAGUAAUGGUCUCACAGCAGAGUACAACAGCGCCGUUAAGGGACGAUUCACCAUCUCCAGGGUGGAGUCCAGCAGCACUGUAUACCUGCAGAUGGAUAGCCUGAGAGUCGAGGACACAGCUCAGUAUUACCGUGCCAGAGACACAGUAAUUUCAAACCUCCUGGGCGUCAUACAAAAACCUUGA